CCUACGGGUGGCUGCAGUAGGGGAUAUUGCUCAAUGGGGGAAACCCUGAAGCAGCAACGCCGCGUGGAGGAUGAAGGUUUUCGGAUUGUAAACUCCUUUUGUUAGAGAAGAUAAUGACGGUAUCUAACGAAUAAGCACCGGCUAACUCCGUACCAGCAGCAGCGGUAGUACGGAGGGUGCAAGCGUUACCUGGAAUCACUUGGCGGAAAGCGCGCGAUGGCGGGAUAGCAAGUCAGAUGUGAAAUCCUAUGGCUUAACCAUAAAACUGCAUUUGAAACUGUUAUUCUAGAGUAUGGGAGAGGUAGGUGGAAUUCUUGGUGUAGGGGUAAAAUCCGUAGAGAUCAAGAGGAAUACUCAUUGCGAAGGCGACCUGCUAGAACAUAACUGACGCUGAUGCGCGAAAGCGUGGGGAGCAAACAGGAGUAGAUACCCCAGUAGUC
rnacentral:rRNA from 1 species